rnacentral:rRNA from 1 species
AUAUCCCUAUGGGAGGCAGCAGUGAGGAAUAUUGGUCAAUGGCCGGAAGGCUGAACCAGCCAAGCCGCGUGAGGGAGGAAGGCGCAGAGCGUCGCAGACCUCUUUUGCCGGGGGACAAAAGGCCGGACUCGUCCGGUCCUGAGGGUACCCGGAGAAAAAGCAUCGGCUAACUCCGUGCCAGCAGCCGCGGUAAUACGGAGGAUGCGAGCGUUAUCCGGAUUCAUUGGGUUUAAAGGGGGCGCAGGCGGUCUGUUAA